rnacentral:lncRNA from 1 species
UUUUUUAUAUAAAACCUUUUUACAGUUUAUUUCCUAUCAUUAAUUUCUUAAUAUAUAUAUAAAUGAGGAUCUGACUAAAUGAAUCAGGACGUUAAAUGAUAAAGUUCCGUCCAUGUGAACAAAUAAAUAAUUAUUUACAAUCUUUGGCAAAACAAAUGAAAUUUCAUUGAUCUCACUCUCUCACACACACUUGCAAGGAAAAAAAAAGAAAAAGAAAUUUAAAAAAACAUCAUAAAUAAUUUACAUAGAAUAGGAAAACUAUGAUACAGUCCAAAUAUUAACAUCUUCCUCCCCACAUUGAUGUCUGUCUCUGACAAAAAAAAAAAAACCUACAUAGCCAUUACAAUCACUACAUUUAAUGAAGUUACCCUUCCCUUCUGCUUGGGACAUGGGGACACAAUUUGAAGCACCAAAAGAAACUGAAACAUUUAAAAAACCUUAAAAAGGGGGCAAAAAAAGCCAAACAAACAAAUAAAAAAACACCAAAAAAACAAAAAGCAACAAAACAGCAAAAAAAAAAAAAGUCUGAAACAAAACAAAACAAAAAAAAAAAGAUUUGAUAAUAUGAACACUAUAAAAUAAAGCCAGUAACUGUGGAUUCCUUUCUAAUGAAUAUAGCAACAAGAUCUGUUUCAAGGGUUUAGCUCACUGUGCCCUAUAGGCGGCAGAGGUACUGUAUUAUUCCAUUAGUUCACCCAUCUAUGAAUAAAAUUACACCAGUAUGUGUUCUUUCUGUGAACAAAGCUCAUACAACUUAAACAAAGCAAAACAAACAAAGUUAAGCAUGUUUAUACUAUUGUAUAUCUGAGUAACUGUUGUAUCUGUUUAGAAUAAACACUGGUAUCCCUUCAGCAUUAUUUAAGAAGUUCUAUAUACAGUAGACAUAGGUAUCAAUACAAAAUAUUAAAAUUAGGGUAACUGGAUAUAUAUUAAGGUUCCAUUUAUAAAUUCCUUAUUAUUAUUCAUUUAACUUUAAAGUAUACAUGAAUAUAACCCAUGAAACUAUACUUAAGUGUAUACCAUGCUUUGACAAAAUCUACAUAUUGUGAUAUGCUUUUACAAACAGCUUUAAAAUAUUAUUUGU